CCUGAGGGAAUGGGCAUCGUUACCCUGAGAGUGAUGUUAGUCAUUCUGAGUGACGUCUGUAGAGGGCCCUCUGUGUAGGGCCAGCGCAUGUGUCCUUCCUGACAGAGGGCGACGGCUCUGUCCUCCCAUGUGACUGGUCCCUGGAACAAUACCGAGGACUGCUGCUGCCUACAGAGUAGCGCCCCAGCCUGGCAUGGGGCAGACAGGACCGCUGGCGUCCCAUCCGGGCAAAGCAAGGCUGGGGGGGGCGGUCAGGCCUCCAAGGGGAGCACAGGGUGAGCGCACAGCCAUGUGGACAGACAGCAGUGCAAGGGAGGGGCCGUGGAUGGACCGCAUGAUCUUUCCAACAUCUCUGGCCAGCAUAAUAUAUUCCGUCCCAGAAAUCCAUCUGCAAGAAGGAAGUGGUUCAUUUUGUUACCUUAUUAGCAGAACCUCGGGGGACACACGCAAGUCUGUGAUCCUGAGGAGGUCACAGUACUAGGGAUCGGAGCAGCCCGAAGUCAGGCGGAGCAGCAGGAGCAGAGCUGGGCACACGGUGAGUCCUGCCCCCCUUCACAUUCAGCCCCAAAGCCUCAGAAACCACACACCAGAGAACAGUGAUGUUCGCAAGGAUUACAAAGAAACGCCAAGGUUUAUACGGAUAUACUCAUUGUUUCAUCUGCCUAAAGAAAAAGCUACAGCAAAUACACCCGUUAAAAACAAUUAAAAUUAAUUUUUCCUCCCCUCUCUCGCCCCCUCUUUAAAAAAAAAAAAGUUAAGCUGGAUGAGAUCGGGGCUUUGUCUCAAGUGCAUGAAGAGCUGGUUGCAGGUGAGGGCAGAUGUGCCGAUGUGAAUGUACCUGGUUUCGAAGUAAUAGAAUCAAAUAGCCGUGAAGGAGAAUUAGGGCUACACAUAAGAAAUCUCCACCCUGGGGCGCCUGGGUGGCUCAGUCGUUCAGCGUCUGCCUUCGGCUCAGGUCGUGAUCCCAGAGUCCUGGGACUGAGCCCCGCAUCGGACUCCCUGCUCGGCUGGGAGCCUGCUUCUUCCUCUCACACUCCCCCUGCUUGUGUUCCCUCUCGCUGGCUGGCUGUCUCUCUCUGUCAAAUAGAUAAAUAUAAUUUAAAAAAAAAAGAAAAUCUCCACCCUAUCUAAGUGCUGUUGCCAUCAAGUAACAUUUGAAAUCUUGCGUUGAGGGUAUAUUUCAAAAGCAUUUAAUGUGGAUCCCCGCAGCCUAUUCAAGCUCAGACCCUUCCUCCCCAGCCCUCCUGCUCUGCCCUCCGAAGGGCAGAGACCUUGGCUUACCUUCUGAGUGUCCCCUGCUCUUUGUUUUGAGCCCCGUGACCCCUCCAAAGUUCUUUCCUCUGGAUGAACCCCCCGUUUCAGGUGGCAUUCUGCUCCCCACAGGGCUGUCUUGUCAUUGAGCGUUUUCCAGUCCUUCCCAGAAUCUGGGACCUGCGAAGAGACCCCAUCAUCUGUCACUACAAAUUCUUGCCUAAGGGACUGUAAAACCUGAGAGUAGCAUUAGGAAACCAUGUGAGACAUAAGGAGACAGAAGAGAAAUAUUCUCAGACCCCUGUAAGAAGAAGAAAAAAAAGAUAAAAUUUGGUCUCACUCAUGUGGCCUGUAGUGAUUAAGAUCAUGAGAUGGAAGCACUGAGCAGAGGUGACGUGGCCAGCACUGAGCGGACGCACGUCUGCAGCAUGUGAGCACCGCAGCCUGGAGUGGGGAGCACCUCUCCCCCACAUCUGGGCCUCGCCACAUCUGCUCAGCUCGCCCAGCAUAAAACAGAGCCCUCACACGGGCCCUUUCUGUGUUCACCCCGCAGCCUGCUCCCCGACUCAGUCCUCUGCUGCCACAUCCUGUCAUCACCCUCUGCCUUCCCAGAAUCCAGCAGCUCUUGUAAAUCGUAAGCUCAUGCUGUCACUCUUGCCGCUGCGGCAGCUGCCACCACCUGCCCGAUGCAGUGCUGAGCCCUCCCACCUUCCCUCCUCGACCUCUUCUCCUGGGUGUCAGAGCCAACCCUCACUUCUCUGUCAAACAGGCCACAUCCUCUCCCACCUGAGGUUCCUGACACAGCUCCUCCCUACCUCCAGCUCAGCUGUCCCCUCAGAGAGGCCGUGCCCACUUCCUGUCUGCCUGCGGUCCUUGUCCAGUACAUCCAUCUGCUCAUUCCUGUAGAGCACUUAUCCCAAAGUUGCUUUUCUUUUUUUUUUUUUUUAAUAUUUUAUUUAUUUAAUUGACAGAGACGGCAAGAGAGGGAACAUAAGCAAUGGGAGUGUGAGAGGGAGAAGCAGGCUUCCUGCCGAGCAGGGAGCCCGAUGCGGGGCUCGAUACCAGGACCCUGGGAUCAUGACCUGAACCGAAGGCAGAUGAUUAACGGCUGAGCCACCUACGCACCCCCAAAAGUUGCUUUCUUCCUUUGCUUGU
ensembl:lncRNA